CCCCGCCCUGCGGACGCGGCGUCACCGGCUCACACCCAGGAAGCGGAUUCGGCGGCGGCCGCCUGGGCUGGGAGUGCACAGGCGCGUGGACCACGCCCGGCGCAUGCUCAGUGGCACCCGCUGAAGCCGCUGCCCCCUCACGCUGCCCUGACUAGGCCAGAAACUCCCCUGGGGGGGGGGUCGCUGCCCAAAUAGUGGAGACCCCCCCGCCGGAGUCACUGCGGCAGCUGGGGGGCGGGACACCGGACAUUGCCCCAGGGGGCUGUCUGAGAUACCUUAAUGGGCCCCAUCACCAUCAUACCUUGGAGCAGCCAUCUCCUGCCCUGGCUUGUCAGCUCUGAAACCCUCUAAGUCCCUCUCACAAUGUACCAUCCUUUUUCUUGUUCAUCCCAAGUCAUGGAGCCAGUACCUGGAGCAUAAGGAGUAGCCCCUUUCACAAGGGGAACUCGGGGUCAAACAUGGAGUCUGGAGGAGAGUUGGUACACUAUGGCUCAGAGCAAGAGGACUUCAUCGGCUCUCAUGGCCUUCCAUCCUUUUGAGUUACCUGGAUUAUGCCAAGUGCAUCCCCAACAACCAUAUCUACAUUUUGUCUAU